GAAUCACUCUGGGAUGUCGCCGCAGUUCCGGGAUCUUUUAAUGAGACGGCAGCAGAUGAUUGAGCAGCAGCAGCGCCAUCAGCAGCAGCAACAGCAGCAGCAAGGAGCAGGACCAG
rnacentral:miRNA from 1 species